rnacentral:rRNA from 1 species
GACGAACGCUGGCGGCGUGCUUAACACAUGCAAGUCGAACGAAGUGGCGAACGGGUGAGUAACGCGUAAUCAACCUGCCCUUCAGAGGGGAACAACAGUUGGAAACGACUGCUAAUACCGCAUACUGAAGGAGGGGAUUGCGUCUGAUUAGCUAGUUGGCGGGGUAACGGCCCACCAAGGCGAUGAUCAGUAGGCGGUCUGAGAGGGUGAACGGCCAAAUUUGGACUGAGAAACGGCCCAGACUCCUACGGGAGGCAGCAGUGGGGAAUCUUUCGAAAUGGACGGAAGUCUGACGGAGCAACGCCGCGGGAGUGAUGACGGCCUUCGGGUUGUAAAGCUCUGUUAAUCGGGACGCGGUACCGGAAUAGAAAGCAACGGCUAACUACGUGCCAGCCGCCGCGGUAAUAC